rnacentral:rRNA from 1 species
GAAAGAUUAAAAGGACUUUAAAAAUAGAGUCAAAGAGUGCUUGAAAUUAUUGGGAGGGAAGCAGAUGGAAGCUGACGAUGCACCCUGGUCAGAUUUGGAAUGGUGACGAGCUGGUUCGUCGAUCGACUCGGGGCGUGGACCAGCGUGGAUUAGGGGGGCGGUCAAAGCCCGGGCUCUUGAUAUGCCCGUGGAAUGAUGUCUCAUUGAUUUUGGUACGAAGAGUGCGCUUCUGACGUGCUUCAACAUCUGUGUGCUCCGGACACUGGCUAUGGGCUCCCCAUUCGACCCGUCUUGAAACACGG